ensembl:misc_RNA 7SK 7SK RNA
AGAAAAGAAUGCAGUCUAGCGAUGCAACAUCUGUCACCUCACUGAUCUCCAGGAUUGAUUCAGCUCAUCUGGCUGGCUAGGUGGGUGUCCCCUUCCCCCCUCACUGUUCCAUAUGUGUCCCUCUCGAAGCUGCACACUUGGUCGAAGAGGACGGCCUUCCCCGAAUAGAGACCGACCAGUCUUCAGUUGAGGGUAUACGAGUAGUUGUGGCGUUCCCCUGCUAGAACCUCCAAACAAGCUCUCAAGAAUGCAGUCUAGAAUGUUCCUAGCUAUGACCAUGGAAUGCAAGUUGAGACCAACAGGGAUCCAGAGGUUACACAGGCUCCUGUGUUAAAUAU